GACUGAUUGUGGCUGAAGCUUGUAAAAAGCUGUCGCACUCACAGAGUUCAUCAUAUUUGCUGACUUUGGCCACAGGCGGAGAGGAUGUGAUGAUGCUCUGAUAAGAUGCUCUUCUUCUCGUUUCUGUCUUCCUCAUUUUUAGACUGCUGUGCCCCUCUGCUCAUAUAAAAACCUCCUGAACGACUGCAGAUAGAACCACUCCUUACAGCUAACUGAAGGUCACAGACCUUCCACCUGAGCAGUUUCAGGACAAACAAAGCAGUGAAGGUGGAAAAGUUUGACAUUUUUAAAAGACUUUUUAAAGAUGAAGUUGGUGCCCUGCCUCAUGCUGUAUGUCCUGCUGGCAGCUGGAACCAGUCUGGCUGUGGAUGUGAAUUGGUUAACUCGUAUUAUAAAAGCCAUAAGGACAGAAACUGCAGAUGAAAAUCUGUGACUACAUCGAGCACUUCUACACAUCACAGUCUCAGAGCAGACUAGAAAAUUUUGCAUUUCCUGCGAAAAUACUGUGUGGAUGCCUUAACGCUGAAGAUGUCUGCUGAAAAAAGCUGAAAAAGUUGAAGGAAGAAAAAAAAAAGAAGAAAAGAAAAAGAAAAAAACCAUUGCCC
ensembl:lncRNA